rnacentral:rRNA from 1 species
GACGUAGGGCGCGAGCGUUGUCCGGAUUUAUUGGGCGUAAAGAGCUCGUAGGCGGCUUGUCGCGUCGUCCGUGAAAACCCACAGCUCAACUGUGGGCUUGCGGUCGAUAACGGGGCAGGCUAGAGUCCGGAAGAGGCGAGUGGAAUUCCUGGUGUAGCGGUGGAAUGCGCAGACUAUCGAGGAGGAACACCGAGUGGCGAAGGCAGCUCGCUGGGACGGUACUGACGCUGGAGGCGACGGAAAGCCGUGGGGAGCGAACAGG